UUCCGGUUGAUCCUGCCGGAGGCCACUGCUAUCGGGGUCCGACUAAGCCAUGCGAGUCAAGGGGGUGUCCCUCUGGGACACCACCGGCGGACGGCUCAGUAACACGUCGGUAACCUACCCUCGGGAGGGGGAUAACCCCGGGAAACUGGGGCUAAUCCCCCAUAGGCCUGAGGUACUGGAAGGUCCUCAGGCCGAAAGGGGCUUUUGCCCGCCCGAGGAUGGGCCGGCGGCCGAUUAGGUAGUUGGUGGGGUAACGGCCCACCAAGCCGAAGAUCGGUACGGGCUGUGAGAGCAGGAGCCCGGAGAUGGACACUGAGACACGGGUCCAGGCCCUACGGGGCGCAGCAGGCGCGAAACCUCCGCAAUGCGGGAAACCGCGACGGGGGGACCCCGAGUGCCGUGGCACCGCCACGGCUUUUCCGGAGUGUAAAAAGCUCCGGGAAUAAGGGCUGGGCAAGGCCGGUGGCAGCCGCCGCGGUAAUACCGGCGGCCCGAGUGGUGGCCGCUAUUAUUGGGCCUAAAGCGUCCGUAGCCGGGCCCGUAAGUCCCUGGCGAAAUCCCACGGCUCAACCGUGGGGCUUGCUGGGGAUACUGCGGGCCUUGGGACCGGGAGAGGCGGGGGGUACCCCUGGGGUAGGGGUGAAAUCCUAUUAUCCCAGGGGGACCGCCGUGGGCGAAAGCGCCCCGCCUGGAACGGGCCCCACGGUGAGGGACAAAGGCCAGGGGAGCAAACCCGAUUAAAUACCCGGGUAGUCCU
rnacentral:rRNA from 1 species